AUGGACGGCGACGGCGACGGCGACGGCGACGGCAGCCUCCGCUUCGACUUCGAGGACGACGUCGACGCUUCGAGCGCUGGAUCCGGCUCCGCGUCCUCGGAAGCCCCCAUCCUCGCCGUGGGAGGGCCGUCCCGUGGCCGCGGCCACGGAAGCAUCGAAAUGGACGGCGACGAGGACAGCCUCCGCUUCGACUUCGAGGACGGCCUCGACGCGGCCGGCGCUGGCACCGAAUCCUCGGCCUGGCCCUUCGAAGCCCCCAUCCCCUCCGCUGGAGGGCCGUCCCAUGGCCCUGGCAGCCGCAGCAUCCAAAUGGACGGCGACGAGGGCAGCCUCCGCUUCGACAUCGAGGACUACCUCGACUCCGUCGCCGCUGGAUCCGGCUCCGACGAGGAGAUCCCGGAGUGCAGAAUGUUUAGCGUGGGCUUUUGCCUUAAUGGAUCUAAUUGCAAGUGCAUGCAUGUUAAGCUACCUGGGUCGCCUCCUGUUCAAGAAGUCCUCCAGAAGUUUCAACAGACGAAUGCCUAUAACUAUGGUUCAUCAAGCACAACUUAUCAGCCUAGAGACAAUAACUGUAAGCAGAAGGCGAAACCUCAAGUCCAGCAUGAGUCGGUGCUGAAGAACCAAAAUUUGGCUGUAAAUGCUACUCUUGUAGCGCAACAACCUGCUGCUCAGCAUGUGCAGACAGCAAAUCCACCACCACACCUACAGCAGCAGCAAAAUGCUCAGGUUCAAGGUGUCCAUAAUGGGUCAUCUAUCCAAAAGCUACCGCAACUGCAAGCCCACUUCCACAAGGGCAAUCAAGGUACUUGGUUAUUAAAUGUUGCAACCAGGAGAAUCUGGAUUUUGGUUCAGUGGGGUGUUUGUGCCCCUCAAAAAGGAUUAAUGAGGUGA
rnacentral:rRNA from 1 species